rnacentral:rRNA from 1 species
AGACGUAGGGGGCGAGCGUUGUCCGGAAUUACUGGGCGUAAAGGGCGUGUAGGCGGCCAGGCAAGUCAGUGGUGAAACACCUGGGCUCAACCGAGGUAUUGCCGUUGAAACUGUCUGGCUUGAGGGUAGAAGAGGAGUGUGGAAUUCCCGGUGUAGCGGUGAAAUGCGUAGAGAUCGGGAGGAACACCAGUGGCGAAGGCGGCACUCUGGUCUAUACCUGACGCUGAGGCGCGAAAGCCAGGGGAGCAAACAGGAUUAGAUACCCUGGUAGUCCUGGCUGUAAACGAUGGGUACUAGGUGUAGGGGGUUUAGAUACCCUCUGUGCCGCAGCUAACGCAUUAAGUACCCCGCCUGGGGAGUACGGCCGCAAGGCUGAA